rnacentral:rRNA from 1 species
CAGUAGCCGCGGUAAUACGGAGGGCGCGAGCGUUACCCGGAUUUACUGGGCGUAAAGGGCGUGUAGGCGGCCUGGGGCGUCCCAUGUGAAAGGCCACGGCUCAACCGUGGAGGAGCGUGGGAUACGCUCAGGCUAGAGGGUGGGAGAGGGUGGUGGAAUUCCCGGAGUAGCGGUGAAAUGCGCAGAUACCGGGAGGAACGCCGAUGGCGAAGGCAGCCACCUGGUCCACUUCUGACGCUGAGGCGCGAAAGCGUGGGGAGCAAACAGGAUUAGAUACCCCGGUAGUCCCUGUCUCUUAUAC